rnacentral:rRNA from 1 species
CAGUAGCCGCGGUAAUACGAAGGGUGCAAGCGUUAAUCGGAAUUACUGGGCGUAAAGCGUGCGUAGGCGGUUUGUUAAGUCUGUUGUGAAAUCCCCGGGCUCAACCUGGGAAUGGCAAUGGAUACUGGCAAGCUAGAGUGUGUCAGAGGAUGGUGGAAUUCCCGGUGUAGCGGUGAAAUGCGUAGAGAUCGGGAGGAACAUCAGUGGCGAAGGCGGCCAUCUGGGACAACACUGACGCUGAGGCACGGAAGCGUGGGGAGCAAACAGGAUUAGAUACCCCCGUAGUCCCUGUCUCUUAUAC